rnacentral:rRNA from 1 species
AUUCCGUUAACGAGCGAGACCUGGGCGUGCUAACUAGGGGGUACUACCAUUUUGGUAGUAUACUUCCCUUCUUAGACGGACUGUGGGCGUCUAGCCCACGGAAGCUCCAGGCAAUAACAGGUCUGAGAUGCCCUUAGAUGUUCUGGGCCGCACGCGUGCUACACUGAGUGGAUCAGCGGGUUAGGUAACGCGAAAGUGUGUCCUAAUCUUCAAAUCCGCUCGUGAUGGGGAUUGACGGUUGCAAUUUUCCGUCAUGAACGAGGAAUACCUUGUAGGCGCGUGUCA